GUGGGGAAUCUUGCGCAAUGGGCGAAAGCCUGACGCAGCCAUGCCGCGUGAAUGAUGAAGGUCUUAGGAUUGUAAAAUUCUUUCACCGGGGACGAUAAUGACGGUACCCGGAGAAGAAGCUCCGGCUAACUUCGUGUCAGCAGCCGCGGUAAUACGAAGGGGGCUAGCGUUGCUCGGAAUUACUGGGCGUAAAGGGCGCGUAGGCGGACAGCUUAGUCAGAGGUGAAAGCCCAGGGCUCAACCUUGGAAUUGCCUUUGAUACUGGCUGUCUUGAGUGUGGGAGAGGUGAGUGGAACUCCGAGUGUAGAGGUGAAAUUCGUAGAUAUUCGGAAGAACACCAGUGGCGAAGGCGACUCACUGGCCCAAUACUGACGCUGAGGCGCGAAAGCGUGGGGAGCAAACAGGAUUAGAUACCCCUGUAGUCC
rnacentral:rRNA from 1 species